rnacentral:lncRNA from 1 species
UUCGGUUUCAUUCUUCCAGAAACUCCUGAAGUCAAUUUGGAAAAAAGAACAUGUGAUUUGGCAAUUGAGUGCUUAAAAUAUAUUUACCAGUGUGGAGCACCAUUGUACCAUCCUACGAAAAUUAUUAGGAGAGUCACCACUGUGGAGGAACUCAAGAUGUGAAGGACUUUUUCAGAAAGCUGGAGAUGAAAGAACAACGAAACUUUACAAUGUCUAUGGUCCGUGCAGAGAUCAAGGUCUGUCAGAGACAUCUUUCCCUGUGGUUCCCUCAACUCCACAAGCCUUUGGGUCUUCAGAUUGAGAGGAGCAGAACAUGAGGUACUGAACUCAAGAGGUCUCACGUGCACUUGGACCUGAUUUACAUGACAAGGUUCUGGCCUGAUUCAGUAACAUGAUACAAUCUUAUGUGGGGU